AACGAACGCUGGCGGCAUGCCUAACACAUGCAAGUCGAACGAGACCUUCGGGUCUAGUGGCGCACGGGUGCGUAACGCGUGGGAACCUGCCCUUAGGUUCGGAAUAACUCUCCGAAAGGGGUGCUAAUACCGGAUAAUGUCUUCGGACCAAAGAUUUAUCGCAUUUGGAUGGGCCCGCGUUGGAUUAGCUAGUUGGUAGGGUAAAAGCCUACCAAGGCGACGAUCCAUAGCUGGUCUGAGAGGAUGAUCAGCCACACUGGGACUGGGACACGGCCCAGACUCCUACGGGAUGCAGCAGUGGGGAAUAUUGGACAAUGGGCGAAAUCCUGAUCCAGCAAUGCCGCGUGAGUGAUGAAGGCCUUAGGGUUGUAAAGCUCUUUUACCCGGGAUGAUAAUGACAGUACCGGAAGAAUAAGCUCCGGCUAACUCCGUG
rnacentral:rRNA from 1 species